AUGGCAUCUGCUACUCUCCUCAAGUCCUCCUUCCUCCCCAAGAAGGCCGAAUGGGGCGUCGCGCGCCAGGUCGCCGCCCCGAGGGUGUCCAUGGUCGUCCGCGCCGGCGCCUACGACGAUGAGCUCGUCAAGACCGCGAAAACCAUCGCGUCGCCGGGGCGCGGCAUCCUGGCCAUGGACGAGUCCAACGCCACCUGCGGGAAGCGCCUCGACUCGAUCGGUCUGGAGAACACAGAGGCGAACCGGCAGGCGUUCCGCACGCUGCUGGUCUCCGUCCCUGGCCUCGGCAACCACAUCUCCGGCGCCAUCCUCUUCGAGGAGACGCUCUACCAGUCCACCGUCGACGGCAAGAAGAUCGUCGACAUCCUGGUGGAGCAGGGCGUCGUGCCCGGGAUCAAGGUGGACAAGGGCCUGGUGCCGCUCACCGGCUCCAAUGACGAGUCUUGGUGCCAGGGCCUCGACGGCCUCGCCUCCCGGGAGGCCGCCUACUACCAGCAGGGCGCCCGCUUCGCCAAGUGGCGCACCGUGGUCAGCAUCCCCAACGGCCCCUCCGAGCUGGCCGUCAAGGAGGCCGCCUGGGGCCUCGCCCGCUACGCCGCCAUCUCGCAGGACAACGGUCUGGUGCCCAUCGUGGAGCCGGAGAUCCUGCUGGACGGGGAGCACGGCAUCGAGCGCACCUUCGAGGUGGCGCAGAAGGUGUGGGCCGAGACCUUCUACCAGAUGGCCCAGAACAACGUCAUGUUCGAGGGCAUCCUGCUCAAACCCAGCAUGGUCACCCCCGGCGCCGAGUGCAAGGACAGGGCCACGCCGGAGCAGGUCGCCGACUACACCCUCAAGCUCCUCAGCCGCCGCGUGCCGCCCGCCGUCCCCGGCAUCAUGUUCCUCUCGGGAGGGCAGUCCGAGGUGGAGGCCACGCUCAACCUCAAUGCCAUGAACCAGGGGCCCAACCCGUGGCACGUCUCCUUCUCCUACGCCCGGGCGCUGCAGAACACGUGCCUCAAGACGUGGGGCGGCCGGCCGGAGAACGUCAAGGCGGCGCAGGAGGCGCUGCUGCUGCGUGCCAAGGCCAACUCGCUCGCGCAGCUCGGAAAGUACACCAGCGACGGCGAAGCCGCCGAGGCCAAGGAGGGCAUGUUCGUCAAGAACUACAGCUACUAA
rnacentral:rRNA from 1 species